AGUGAACGCUGGCGGUAGGCCUAACACAUGCAAGUCGAACGGCAGCACAGUAAGAGCUUGCUCUUACGGGUGGCGAGUGGCGGACGGGUGAGGAAUACAUCGGAAUCUACUUUUUCGUGGGGGAUAACGUAGGGAAACUUACGCUAAUACCGCAUACGACCUACGGGUGAAAGCAGGGGAUCUUCGGACCUUGCGCGAUUGAAUGAGCCGAUGUCGGAUUAGCUAGUUGGCGGGGUAAAGGCCCACCAAGGCGACGAUCCGUAGCUGGUCUGAGAGGAUGAUCAGCCACACUGGAACUGAGACACGGUCCAGACUCCUACGGGAGGCAGCAGUGGGGAAUAUUGGACAAUGGGCGCGAGCCUGAACCAGCCAUACCGCGUGGGUGAAGAAGGCCUUCGGGUUGUAAAGCCCUUUUGUUGGGAAAGAAAAGCAGCAGGUUAAUACCCCGCUGUUCUGACGGUACCCAAAGAAUAAGCACCGGCUAACUUCGUG
rnacentral:rRNA from 1 species